rnacentral:rRNA from 1 species
CGGGCGCGGUACCCUAACCGGGCAAAGGUAGCAUAAUCCCUUGUUCUUUAAAUAAGGACUUGUAUCAACGGCAUCACGAGGGUUCUACUGUCUCCUCUCUCUAAUCGGUGAAACUGAUCUCCCUAUGAAAAAGUGGGGAUAAACUUAUAAGACGAGAAGACCCCAUGGAGCUUUAAAACCUAUAGCAACCUAGCAAACACUUCCAUUUAGCUAUAAAACUAUGCUCAAGGACUUUAGGUUGGGAGGACCACGGAGCACAAAAUAACCUCCGCAAUGAAAAGAAUAAAAUCUUUACCAAAGAGCCACAACUCCAAGAAUUAGAAAACUAACGUACAAUGACCCGAUAUCGAUCAAUGAACUAAGUUACCCUGGGGAUAACAGCGCAAUCCAUUCUGAGAGUUCAUAUCGACGAACGGGCUUACGACCUCGAUGUUGGAUCAGGGUAUCCUGGUGGUGCAGCCGCUACCGAAGGUUCGUUU